GAGGAGGCAGCAGUGGGGAAUCUUGCGCAAUGGGCGAAAGCCUGACGCAGCAACGCCGCGUGAGGGAAGAAGGCCUUAGGGUUGUAAACCUCUUUCAGAUGGGACGAAGCUUCCAGGGUGAAUAGCCCUGUGGAGUGACGGUACCUUCAGAAGAAGCCCCGGCUAACUACGUGCCAGCAGCCGCGGUAAUACGUAGGGGGCAAGCGUUGUCCGGAAUCAUUGGGCGUAAAGAGCGUGUAGGCGGCUUGGAAAGUCUGGUGUGAAAUCUUGCGGCUCAACCGCAAACGUGCACUGGAUACUGUCAAGCUUGAGUCCGGAAGAGGAGUGUGGAAUUCCUGGUGUAGCGGUGGAAUGCGCAGAUAUCAGGAGGAACACCUAUGGCGAAGGCAGCACUCUGGUACGUGACUGACGCUGAGACGCGAAAGCGUGGGGAGCAAACAGGAUUAGAUACCCUGGUAC
rnacentral:rRNA from 1 species